UGGGCUGUAACCUCUUUUAUCGGAAGAAGAUCUGACGGUACUUUGAUGAAUAAGCCACGGCUAAUUCCGUGCCAGCAGCCGCGGUAAUACGGGAGUGGCAAGCGUUAUCCGGAAUUAUUGGGCGUAAAGCGUCCGCAGGCGGCCUUGUAAGUCUGUCGUUAAAGCGUGGAGCUUAACUCCAUCUCAGCAAUGGAAACUGUCAGGCUUGAGUGUGGUAGGGGCAGAGGGAAUUCCCGGUGUAGCGGUGAAAUGCGUAGAUAUCGGGAAGAACACCAGUGGCGAAGGCGCUCUGCUGGGCCAUAACUGACGCUCAUGGACGAAAGCCAGGGGAGCGAAAGGGAUUAGAUACCC
rnacentral:rRNA from 1 species